CUUCUCCAGUGAAUAUAAGACCCAGAAACUGCCAGAAAUUUGUAUGGAAAAGAUGAAGGAUAUUGUGAUAUCCUCACUGAUGACCUGAAGAGGAGACCUGUGGUUUUACAGCUGCAGAUCAAACCCUAAAAUGAGUGACUGCCUGAAAGACCAGGAGCACCUCUAUGUCUCUUGCACAAGAGGACGUCCCCAGCCACAGAUCUGGGCCUGCAACUGGAAGGAAAUGCCUGGUGGGACAGAGGGAUACCCUGCAUUGGCGGCUGCUGGUGCUCGGCAUGUGCUGUGGGCUUACCCACUGCAUCCCUGCAAAGGGACUGAAAGUGGAAUCAGCACAGCAAACAGAGAAACCCCAAGAGCCACAGUGUUUACCUGCAGCGCUCACUGUGCAAGCUGUGACGCCACAGUAAGGUCAGGAAACUGGACGUCCAUUUGGCUGCCUGCCCACUCACCCAGUACUUGUGCCUGCACUGGCAGAGGGCAGCAAAACCUGAGCACAUCUGUUUCGUUUGAGGACAAAACCACCAGAAAACCAGACGGUUUUAUGAAGAUCUUAGUUGGGUGCCUUCCAAAUACUACAUAAUCUUGUAGAAGAAAUUGUUUUCUUGAGGAAUGACCCGCAUAUUUAUAUAUUCAAGUAUUAUUUGGACAUUGAAGUAAAACAUUUUCAACCCGAA